CCUGGAAUGACCUUUCCCCAGGCACUGCACUGUAUGCUAUUGUAGCACUUAACAAAGAUUGGCAAUUAUUUGCUCGUAUGGCUAGACUAUGGCCUCUCAAGGACAAUGAUAAAGGAUUAAUCAUUUUUAUAUUCCUAGCAACUAAUGCAGUGUAUGACAUAUAAGAUAUGCUCAAUAAAACAGGAAAGAGUGGUUACAAAGCUGCUGAGGAUAGAUAUUUUGUUCAAUUUUAUUUCCUUUUACUAGCAAUCUCUGUUGCAGGGAUUGCAUACAUAAUAGCCAUGGGCUUAUGAUAAUAAAAGAAUAAAUAACAGAUCCCUUAACUGUACAUGAAUGAUAAAGUAUCUAUCAGUCUUUCCCAGGAAUUGUAAAACACAAGAUCUGGGUGUGGCACCUUAUGUGCUCUGUCAUAAUACUAAAUAUAUUAUAGCACUAUGCAAACAAGUGAAUUGCUCAACAUGGAAAUCCCAGAAUUAACAUUGACUCAAGGAGCAGGACAUGUGACUUAGAGAAAUUUUGCAAGCAUGAGAACAAACUACUUGCCACUUAGAAGGUGCUAAUUCAUUUUCUAUUUAAAAUUUUCUAAAAGAAAGAAUAAUUCCAAGCCCACCUCUCCAAUCCAUUGCUUUCUAUUGGGAAAUAAAAACGCUACAUUUUUUUUUUUCACAUGGUCAACUUCAAAUCAUUUCUCCUCCACCCCGUUGUAAAGAAUGUCCCCAUCCGGAGCCAGUUCCUUGAGCAGUGCUAGCCCUGGCCUGCGGCUUGUCGUUAGCUGGCGACCUCCCUUCACCACUGCUCUUGAUUCACUGACAGCAUUGGCACCCUCGUGGCCUUCCUUUCCACAGCAUCCACCCAUUCCUCAGAAUGACGUCAUACCCACGUCUGACUCUCUGAGCACAUUUCCUCGUCUUACUCAUUUCCAGUGACCUCCUCUACUCCAGCCGCUCAUUCUGACACACCCUGGCACUUGUCCUGGCCUGGAAUCGCUCCAACUCUGAAAAUGCGUUUCAGACAUCAGACUCUUUGAGCAUCACCCUUAACCGUUACUCUCAGUCUGUCAUCCCCCAGUCUGCUGUUCCUCAGUGUCCCCAUGGAGACCUGUAAUUCAUGGAGUCCUCACUUACUCUUUUCCUCUGUGGUUGUCUUCAUUCCUUCUCCUGAUGGAUAGCCAUGACCUGUCUCUUCUCCCUCCUUAUUGCCAAUGUCCUUCACUCUCUUGUCUUCUUGUUCCUCGUUCUACCUGCCUGACAAAAUACCAAAGCUGGACGAACCAAACCUACUCUUUUCUUCUUAAACCACCUGCUGGAGAAAGCAGGACGAGCAAAUGCAUAUGAACCCAUCUCAGCUGAACACUCACUGCCUGUGCUUCUUCAUCAGCUCUGUUGUACCCUCCACCCACCUGACUCCCACCCUUCUCAAGUCUCCGCCCCCGCCCCCCAACCUUUCCCUGACCCUCCAUGGUAGAUUUUCCUCUUUCAUUAACACAUGUAGGGCCAGCAUUGGCCCUCUUCACAAACCCUCUUCAGGGUUCCCUUUGUUGACUGGGCAUGGUGAAUGCAUGCCUGUAAUCCUAACAGCUGGGGAGGCUGAGGCAAGAGGAUGACAUAUUCAAGGCCAGCAUCAGAAACUUAGUGAGGCCCUGAGCAAC
rnacentral:lncRNA from 1 species